GCCGAAGUGGCGGAAUUGGAAGACGCGCUAGAUUCAGGAUCUAGUGGGCGUAAGCCCGUAUGGGUUCGAGCCCCAUCUUCGGCA
rnacentral:tRNA from 1 species